rfam:Pristionchus pacificus strain PS312 contig2871, whole genome shotgun sequence.
UCUUCAUUUCGCAUACUCUCUCGUCUCUCUCACCGUCGGGAGAGUGUGGGAAAUGAAGAGA